GUGAUGUUCCAAUGUCACCAGAGAUGCCUGACAACCACAACCAUAUGCUAUCGUUCUACUUCCAUGGCAACCUUACCAGCUUGCACCACCCAAGACACCUACCAGUGCCGAAGCGAAUCGAUGAACGCCUAUUCAUAACGCUCGGGCUUGGCUCCGUUUGUCGGCAAGGCCAGUCCUGCGAGAGAGGAGCAGAGAGCGACGAGGUCAUCGUUGUGGCAACCAUGAAUAAUAUAUCAUACGAGCUCCCCACCGUGUCGAGACCACUGCUAGAAGCCCACUACCAGAACCCCAGCAACAUUGACUGGCUGCAAGAACUCCCUGAUGUACCACCGCGGGUGUUCAACUUCACUGACAGUUCCUUGAUCCCAACAGGACCCAAGGAGGAACAACUAGAGCCGACGUCCAAGGCUGCGUUGGCACGGCGAUUCCGGUAUGGAGCUGUUGUUGAUGUGGUGUUCCAGAGCACGUCAAUGUUGCAGAGCGAGUCCAACCCGAUGCACCUGCACGGACAUGACAUGUUCGUGCUGGCACAGGGCAGCGGCAACUAUGACAAGGAAAGGGAUGUGGCGAAGUACAACCUAGUUAAUCCUCCACUUGUGAACACCGUGCUUGUACCACGGCUUGGAUGGGUGGCUGUCCGGUUUAUUGCGGACAAUCCAGGUACGAACGUGAUUUUAACUUUCUUUUUUUUGCCAAGGAAGAUACAAUUAUGUAGAACAUAACAACUCUUUCUCUUUCGGAAUUUGUUAUAUGAAUAACUGCCCUACGAUACACUAGCUAGGUUUAAAGUUUGAUUUGUAUGUAUGAGGCUGAAAAGU
rnacentral:lncRNA from 1 species